CCUACGGGCGGCAGCAGUGAGGAAUAUUGGUCAAUGGACGAAAGCCUGAACCAGCCAAGUAGCGUGAAGGAUGACUGCCCUAUGGGUUGUAAACUUCUUUUAUAUGGGAAUAAAACGUUCCACGUGUGGGAUUUUGCAUGUACCAUAUGAAUAAGGAUCGGCUAAUUCCGUGCCAGCAGCCGCGGUAAUACGGAGGAUCCGAGCGUUAUCCGGAUUUAUUGGGUUUAAGGGGAGCGUAGGUGGAUUGUCAAGCCGGUUGUGAAAGUUUGCGGCUCAACCGUGAAAUUGCAGUUGAAACUGGCAGUCUUGAGUACAGUUGAGGUGGGCGGAAUUCGUGGUGUAGCGGUGAAAUGCUUAGAUAUGACGAAGAACUCCGAUUGCGAAGGCAGUUCACUGGACUGCAACUGACGCUGAGGCUCGAAAGUGUGGGUAUCAAACAGGAUUAGAUACCCCAGUAGUC
rnacentral:rRNA from 1 species